GCAGUCGAGCGGCAGCACGGGAGCUUGCUCCCGAUGGCGAGCGGCGGACGGGUGAGUAAUGCCUAGGAAUCUGCCUGUUAGUGGGGGAUAACUCGGGGAAGCUCGAGCUAAUACCGCAUACGUCCUGCGGGAGAAAGUGGGGGACCUUCGGGCCUCACGCUAACAGAUGAGCCUAGGUCGGAUUAGCUAGUUGGUGGGGUAAAGGCCUACCAAGGCGACGAUCCGUAGCUGGUCUGAGAGGAUGAUCAGCCACACUGGAACUGAGACACGGUCCAGACUCCUACGGGAGGCAGCAGUGGGGAAUAUUGGACAAUGGGCGCAAGCCUGAUCCAGCCAUGCCGCGUGUGUGAAGAAGGUCUUCGGAUUGUAAAGCACUUUAAGUUGGGAGGAAGGGCGCUUGGCUAAUACCCAAGGGUUUUGACGUUACCAACAGAAUAAGCACCGGCUAACUUCGUGCCAGCAGCCGCGGUAAUACGAAGGGUGCGAGCGUUAAUCGGAAUUACUGGGCGUAAAGCGCGCGUAGGCGGUUUGUUAAGUUGGAGGUGAAAUCCCCGGGCUCAACCUGGGAAGUGCCUCCAAAACUGGCUGACUAGAGUACGGUAGAGGGUGGUGGAAUUUCCUGUGUAGCGGUGAAAUGCGUAGAUAUAGGAAGGAACACCAGUGGCGAAGGCGACCACCUGGACUGAUACUGACGCUGAGGUGCGAAAGCGNNNNGAGCAAACAGGAUUAGAUACCCUGGUAAUCCACGCCGUAAACGAUGUCGACUAGCCGUUGGGUCCUUGAGAGCUUAGNGGCGCAGCUAACGCAUUAAGUCGACCGCCUGGGGAGUACGNNNGNNNNNNNNAACUCAAANGAANUGACGGGGGCCCGCAC
rnacentral:rRNA from 1 species